rnacentral:lncRNA from 10 species
CUAGCUCCCUUUUGUGACUUAUUUCCCCACAAAAUGUGUUAAAGUCCUAAUGCCCAGGAAAUAGGAUCAUUGUAGAUGUAACUAAUUAAAGUGAGGCCAUACUGGAGUAGGAUGGACCCCGGAUCUGAUACGAGGGGUGGCCUUCCAAGAAGAGGAGAAGAGACAGACACGGGAGGCAGACGCUGCUGUGCGACGUCAGAGGCAGGGAAAGGAAGGAAUUUUAAAGCGGUUUGUGUCCCAGCAGUGGGCCCUGUAAUGAGCACCUCAGGCACACUAUGACCUUCAGGAAUGUUCCUCCGAGGCUCCCAAACCUUCCGCUCAUUUCUGAUGCACCAAAGCUGGCCUGAGGCCUAAUCUCUGGGUCCCA